UAUACAUGAGUUUUAACUUCAAUGCACUUAGUAUUGUUAGUGUAUAAAAGUUAAAAUUCUACGUAUCGAUAUAUCCACUCAUCAAACAUAUAUACACACACUAUCACAAGUCUAACCAACUCAGAGACAGAUCCAGGAUUUCGGCGAUUCUUGGUUGCCACCGAAUCUACAAUUCAUUUACGUUAUUAGGUUCCUAGUUUGCUAUAUUUUUACAUAUCUAGUAAUUUUUUUUACCUCACAAUAUAGAGUUUUGAGUCAAAGCUACUGAAUUCUGCCCAACUCGUAUCAUAUUAUAGCGUGCAUGCGCGUUGAGGAAGUUGUAAGAAGCACACUAUACAUAGGCACAUAUCGAAUAUCGAUAUAUCCACUCAUCAAACAUAUAUAUACACUAUCGCAAGUCUAUCCAACUCAGAAACAGAGCCAGGAUUUUGGUGAUUAUUUUAGUUACUAGUAUCAUAUUAUAGUAGUGUGCAUGCGCGUUGAGGUACACUAUACAUCGACAUCAUGUAUAUUCGUUAGAGUUUAACUUUGGG
rnacentral:lncRNA from 1 species